GAUGAACGCUGGCGGCGUGCCCAAUACAUGCAAGUCGAGCGAACUGAUUAGAAGCUUGCUUCUAUGACGUUAGCGGCGGACGGGUGAGUAACACGUGGGCAACCUGCCUGUAAGACUGGGAUAACUUCGGGAAACCGAAGCUAAUACCGGAUAGGAUCUUCUCCUUCAUGGGAGAUGCGUGAAAGAUGGUUUCGGCUAUCACUUACAGAUGGGCCCGCGGUGCAUUAGCUAGUUGGUGAGGUAACGGCUCACCGAGGCAACGAUGCAUAGCCGAGCUGAGAGGGGGAUCGGCCACACUGGGACUGAGACACGGCCCAGACUCCUACGGGAGGCAGCAGUAGGGAAUCUUCCGCAAUGGACGAAAGUCUGACGGAGCAACGCCGGGUGAGUGAUGAAGGCUUUCGGGUCGUAAAACUCUGUUGUUAGGGAAGAACAAGUACGAGAGUAACUGCUCGUACCUUGACGGUACCUAACCAGAAAGCCACGGCUAACUACGUGCCAGCCGCCGCCGUAACAC
rnacentral:rRNA from 1 species